GCGUGAUUGGUGUAAAGGUAACAUUGAAGCUUCCCAUUCACACGGUCCCGUGACAAUGGCCCUGCAUCACGGGGACACUGCUUUAGCUUCGGGUUCGAUUCCCGGAUCACGCA